rnacentral:lncRNA from 1 species
GUGAUAGUUACCACUGCAUUUAGAAAUUGAAAGCAUUCAUGCAGACACGGAUGAUUUUCAUAUUUUUGGCUACCACUUCAAAUGCCUCCACCAAGUGUUACAAUCCUGCACGUAGCCAUACUCAGGAUCUCGCAGCAACACCUGCAGGUAAAAAGCAGAAGCAGUCAAAGUGCUGGUGUGUACUGGACACUAUGUUUGAAAACUUUUAGGCAAGAAGAGUGCAAGAAGCAGACAUAACUGCAUUUAUUUCCAUAAUUCCCCAUUUGAAUGGCCUUUUAUUUUUGCUUAGACAAUGCCUACGCCUAGCCACAGCAGCUCCCCCAUACAGACUCCGCAAGCCAAGAGGCCGUGGAGGCAAAUGCAGGCAGCCAGCACACCUCGAACAGCCACCCUGACUGCGGGUGUGUCACCCUAGUCGCCAAGGAAACAUUUGAGGGAAAGCGACAGGCAAUGUGAACAGCCACUUCUCCAUGUAAACUAUACUCUUUCUCUCGGAUGACUCCUACGCCUCGCCACACCAGCACACUUGUGCAUAAAGAUGCCGCGGAGGCACGUGCAGGUCAGAGGCAAGAAGCAGUGGCACUGGUGUCGACAGUCACCCAAUUUCUUUUUCUUACACUGAGGCAGCCAGCACACCUCGAACAGCCACCUUGACUGCGGGUGUGUCAGUAGAUUCCUGUUGUACAUAUGCUCAUAAUAAACUUCAGUAAACUUGAACUUGAUAAUAAACUUGAAGGCAAAUGGGA